UUGAAGCUACUUAACUAGCAUAAAGUUCAAUAGGUAUUCUGGCAUUUAAAAUUUAUUUAUUUUAAUAUAAUCUUGAAACAUUGAAAAGUCUUUUCCAUAUUAUCUAAAUUUCGUGUCCAGUCAAAUUGGGAAAAAUAUUUGGCAUUAUAGGUAUUAAAAUUUCCAAUUUUUAUGGGUUAUGAUACCACCUUGGGGAUCCGAUUUGGCAGUUUUGUGUAACGAAGAUGUCUUGUGUUGAUCAGCAAAAUCUAAACCAAGUAAUAUUCUUCAGUUCGUCUGAAUUGUAACUUUCUCUGUGUUUAAGGAGAAUGCUUGAAGCAGAUUAUAGUUAUUAGAUGACCGACCAUAUGAGAAAUCUAACUCCAGAAUACUCGUCCAAGUGGCAACUAGGACACCUCAACAAUAACAACAAGGUAAAAGAAAGGAUUGUGCAUUCCUGUGAACAUUAUCUAUUACACACGCUAUGCAGUGCAACAAAAAAAUAAUCUUAAUUGUAUAUAAGCAUCAAUAAUGUACAAUUACAUUUUGCCCUCUGGAAGCAGAGUUAUUGCUUACAUUUUUGUGCUAUUCUGAGGAGACUACACUUGGAGUUUUUUUUUUUUUUCAUAAGAAUGAAUGUUCCUCAGUGCUAUAGAAAUAGUUACCUGCAAAACUCCUAAAUACAAACACAUCA